GCCCCUCUAGCUCAACUGGCAGAGCAACGGACUCUUAAUCCGCAGGUUCUGGGUUCGAAUCCCAGGGGGGGUACCA
rnacentral:tRNA from 1 species